rnacentral:lncRNA from 1 species
AUGUCAGAUCCAUACGGACGUGCAAAAGGUGACGAAGAAAUAGAGGUAACCGUUGAAGGAUCUGAGCCGUCGGAGUACACAAUUGACGCGGCGAAGAAAAUGAAGUACGAUCAGCUUUUUCCGGUGGAAGCUAAGAAAUUUGGGUAUGAACCGAAAAGUAAGGCUAAAUCGUUUGAAGAAGCGCUCGAUGAUCGUGUCAAGAAGAAAGAUGAUCGUUACUAUAAAUAG